rnacentral:misc_RNA from 1 species
UUGAGUUUCUUAUCCUUGCAAGUUAUGGAUUAUGGGCUGUUGUCAACAAUAAGGAAGCUGUUGUCAUGACCAAGCCAAUCGAGGACCCAGAGCUGGCAGCAAAGAGUUUGUUGCAGGAGGCAUACGAGAGAGGCAGUGCAUACAAUAUUACCUGUAUUGUUGUCCGCUUCCUGGCCAAUCAAGGUACUCCUACUACUCAUGAUUCGCGGAUGAUCUAAGAGGGAAGGGGCACCCCUAACCCAAAAAAGUUUCUAUUUUUGUGUGAAUUAAUGUUCCUACCCCUAUAAAUGGAUUGAUGUUGGGAAUAAUUGAAUUUUGGACCCAUUCAUACAUAUGUGUAAAAU